ensembl:lncRNA
CAGGAAACAAGCCUGGGCCUCCUGCGUGGCAGGUGAGAAUUCUACCACUGAACCACCCAUGCACCCAACCGCCAUGAACCUUAUUGCCUAUAGGACAUUAUAUUAUGGCCAGUUUGGGAUCUAAGUUAGCAGUCUCGCAUCAACAUUCUUCCUUUCACUUACCACAGAUAAAUCAGUUUCUCUUAUGUUCCCUUGACUCAACUUUAUUACCCUGCUAGCACCCUUAUUGCCUGGAGAAUCCCAGGGAUGGAGGAGCCUGGUGGGCUGCCGUCUAUGGGGUCACACAAAGUCGGACACGACUGAAGCGACUUAGCAGCAGCAGCAGCAGCAGCAGCAGCAGCACCCUUAUUAAUGAAUUAAAUGAAUAUUUGACAUAGGCUCAUGAUGUAUGUUUGUGAGAGCUGUGUCUUUUAUCUUCUGGAAAUUACAAUGUGAAACUACCUUAGAGAAAAUGUGCAGAUGAGCAACACCAAACUCAGUCUUAGGGGUUUAGGGAAGAUUUCUCAGAUCAUCUAAAGUUAGACAUGAAAACUGAAGGGGUAGGCUAGGCAAAGAUGGAAGAGGGUGGUGUACUAGGGUGAGGGAAAUAGUCUAUGUUGAGGCUGGAGAUGAGACACCUCCAUCAGCAGGUCAUGAAGCCCAAGAGCAAGAGUGGGAGAGGCAAGGCGGGGAUGGGGGGCUGUAAGCAAGAGCAAACUCAUGGCUGGACCUCAGCGCCAUGCUGAGGAGCUUAGUCUUCAUAUAGAGGGCACUGGGAAGUCACUAGGAAUGUUUAAACAGGGAGAAGGCGUGACUGGAUUUGGCUCCUGGGUUCAGUUUCAUAACCCAGGUAGAAAUCUCGUUCAGCCAGAUAAUAAUUGCAGCUUGCUGAGGUUCCUUAUAAAAUUCCUCUAUAAUUCUGCUUCACUCCAGUUUCUACAACUACAAUUAGGAGAUAUAUUGAUGAAUAAAUUCAUGGAGAGAUUUUUAUAUAUAUACAUGAUGGAAUGCCCAAGAAUGGAUAUUUACCAUUUAUAAUGGUUUCUUUCUCUAUUUUGGUCCAGAGUAAAAAUAGAAAAAGCAGAUGUGCAAAAAAGCAAGGCUGACAUAUUUCAAAAUACAACUCAAAGUAAUGGGCAAAUCAGAGCUGAAGGAGGAGACUCCAGAGACCAGCUAUUAGAUGCAAUUGCUUUGGUCAGAAAGGUUUCUGCUUCUUUCAAGUUUCCUUGGCCAGAUGUUUCCAUUUCAGAGAAUAAAUUAUAAAGCAGUUAAGCACUUUUAGCACGAGGGAACAUUUAUUCUGUUAUGAUGCAGCUUGUUGAGGACUUUUCAGCAAUCAUAGCACUUUCGUUUCUUGUCUCAUUUCAUCCUCACAGGAGCGUAUGAGGCAGACGGGAUGAAUGCUACUAUGCCCAUUUCAUGCCUUGGAGAAACCAAGGCCCAGAAAGGUAAAAAUCUGCCAACCUGCAAGGUAGGCGAGGUAGGCUCGAAGAAUGGAAAAAGGAUCAUCUUGUUACCAGUGCUCUGAAUGACCGUGGAAGUUUUCCUUAUUACAUGUGAAAUAAAUGCGAUGACAGUAGCACUCACUUCCCACGCUAGUGAGGUUAGGCUGAAAAUCUUUCAAGCUAGGCUUCAGCAGUAAUUGAAUUGAAAACUUCCAGGUGCACAAACUUGGUUUAGAAAAGGCAGAGAAACCAAAGAUUAAAUUGCCAACAUCACUGGAUCAUUGAGGAAGCAAGGGAAUUCCAAAAACACAUUUCCUUCUGUUUCAUCGACUACGUUAAAGCCUUUGACUGUGCGCACCAUAACGAACUGUAGAAAACUCUUAGAGAGAUAGGAAUAUUAGACCACCUUACCUGUCUCCCGAGAAACCUGUAUGCGGGUCAAGAAGCAACAGUUAGAACUUUAUAUGGAACAACUGACUGGUUCAAAAUUGGGAAAGGAGUAUGACAGGCUGUAUAUUGUCACCCUGUUUAUUUAACUUACAUGCAGAGCACAUCAUGCAACAUACUGGGCUGUAUUAAUUACAAGCUGGAAUCAAGAUGGCCAGGAGAAGUAUCAACAACCCCAGAUAUGCAGAUGAUACCACUGUAAUGGGGGAAAGUAAAAAUGAAUUAAAGAGCCUCUUGAUGGGGGUGAAAGAGGAGAGUGAAAAAGCCAGCUUAAAACUCAAUAGUAAAAAAAACUAAGAUCAUGGUAUGUGGGUCCCAUCAUUUCAUGGCAAAUUGAAGGAGAAAAGGCGGAAGGACAGAUUUCCUCUUCCUGGGCUCUGUGGAUGGUGACUGCAGUCAUGAAAUUAGAAGAUGAUUGCUUCUUGGCAGGAAAGCUAUGACAAACCUAGACAGCAUAUUAAAAAGCAAAAACAUCAUUUUGCCGACAAAGGUCCGUAUAGUCAAGGCUAUGGUCUUUCCAGUAGUCCUAUAUGGAUGUGAGAGUUGGAACAUAAAGAAGCAGAGUACCAAAGAACUGAUGUUUUUGAACUGUGGUCCUGGAGAAAGACUAUUGAGAGUCCCCUGGACUGCAAGGAGAUCAAACCAGCCAGUCCUAAAGGAAAUCAACCCUGAAUACUCUUUGGAAACACUGAUGCUGAAGGUGAAGCUCCAGUACUUUGACGUCUGACGCAAAGAGCUGACUCAUCGGAAAAGGCCCUGAAACUGGGAAAGAUUGAAGGCAGAAGAAGACGACGGUGACAGAGGAUGAGAUGGUUGGAUGGCAUCGUUGUUUCAACGGACAUGAUCUUGGGCAAACUCUGGGAGAUGGUGAGGGACAGGGAGGCCUGGCGUGCUGCAGUCCACGGGGUCUCAAAGAGUCGGACACAACUUGGUGACUGAACGACAACAAAAUACAAUGAAGGAACAAUUCUGGUCUUUCUCCUUCACUAUGCAGUAAAUGCAUGAGGGAUCUUUUUGACCCAGGGAUUGAGCCCAGGUCUCCUGGAUUUCAGGCAGAUUCUUUACCAUCGGAACCACCAGGGAAGCCACAGGGUUAAAGCAGCUUACAAAUGAGGUGUUCCAGAAAUGCAUCUGAGGAAUGUCAAUGAAGAAACAUGAGUCUCCUCUCAGCUCAGCUCCUCAGGCUGGACCAGCUUGCCCUUUAUCCCUUAAGAACCCAGGGAUCAAGCCACACUUUUCUCCUGCCUGCUGCCGAAUUCUACCUGGAUUUCUCUCAAGACUUAAGAAGCAAUACAGUAAUUUCUCAGUUUACACAAUAGUUAGGUUCCUAUGGGCAUAGGUUAACUUGUAAAUACUUAAUCUAAGAAAUAAUUUUCUCUUAAUAAAAGGCAAG